rnacentral:rRNA from 1 species
UACGUAGGGUGCAAGCGUUGUCCGGAAUUAUUGGGCGUAAAGAGCUCGUAGGCGGUUUGUCGCGUCUGCUGUGAAAACUCGGGGCUUAACCCCGGGCCUGCAGUGGGUACGGGCAGACUAGAGUGCGGUAGGGGAGACUGGAAUUCCUGGUGUAGCGGUGAAAUGCGCAGAUAUCAGGAGGAACACCAGUGGCGAAGGCGCCACUCUGGGCCGUAACUGACGCUGAGGAGCGAAAGCGUGGGUAGCAAACAGG